UACGUAGGGGCAAGCGUUGUCCGGAAUCAUUGGGCGUAAAGAGCGCGUAGGCGGCCCUGUAAGUCCGCUGUGAAAGUCAAGGGCUCAACCCUUGAAUGCCGGUGGAUACUGCAGGGCUAGAGUCCGGAAGAGGCGAGUGGAAUUCCUGGUGUAGCGGUGAAAUGCGCAGAUAUCAGGAGGAACACCGGUGGCGAAGGCGGGUCUCGUGGGACCG
rnacentral:rRNA from 1 species